rnacentral:rRNA from 1 species
GACGAACGCUGGCGGCGCGCCUAACACAUGCAAGUCGAACGGAGCGCACUGUGUGAAGUCACUUCGGUGGCGGAACUUUGUGUUGCUUAGUGGCGAACGGGUGAGUAACACGUGAGUAACCUACCUUCCAGUGGGGGACAACAUUUGGAAACAGAUGCUAAUACCGCAUAAGACCACAUCCUCGCAUGGGGAUGCGGCCAAAGCAGCAAUGCGCUGGAAGAUGGACUCGCGCCUGAUUAGAUAGUUGGUGGGGUAACGGCUCACCAAGUCGACGAUCAGUAGCCGGACUGAGAGGUUGAACGGCCACAUUGGGACUGAGACACGGCCCAGACUCCUACGGGAGGCAGCAGUGGGGAAUAUUGGGCAAUGGGGGAAACCCUGACCCAGCGACGCCGCGUGAGGGAAGAAGGUUUUCGGAUUGUAAACCUCUGUCUACGGGGAAGAAGAAGUGACGGUACCCGUGGAGGAAGCCACGGCUAACUACGUGCCAGCCGCCGCAGUAAGAC